AUCAUUUUGUAGUUCUUAAGUGGGAGGAUUGGGUUUUCAUGCGCAUGUGUGAGAUGUGCCUCCCACAUGUCUUAUUACAACCUUGGCACAUUAUCUGUUUGAUG